rnacentral:lncRNA from 1 species
CAUGUUAGAAGCUAUGCUUUUCUAAAAUAACAAAACAAAACAAAGGAAAAACAUCUUUUUGUUCUCUUCCUAGUUCUAUCAAGUGCUGGCUUUCGAUUCCAGUCUGACUUCACUACCACAGGAGCUUCUUGCUCAGGCUUCUGUUCCGGCUCCAUUCUCUCCCUGCCAUUAUAAUGCCAUCCACUGCAGCACCAUCUCUUCAAUCAGAAAACAUUCAUGAUCUCAUUCGACCUGAAGCCGGUGCCUCUGUAAUGUGUAGCAGAAUCCUAUGGAGAAGUUGUAAAGACACAAAAUGUUGGCCCCACCCCAAGAGUUUCUGAUUUUGCAGGUCUGGAGAGGGCCUGUGAUACGUACUUCUAACAAGCUCCCAGGCGAUGCUAAUGUUGCUGGUCUAGAAACACACUUUGAGAGCCACUGUUUUAGCAUGUAUUCAC